rnacentral:rRNA from 1 species
AUUGAACGCUGGCGGCAUGCUUUACACAUGCAAGUCGAACGGCAGCACGGACUUCGGUCUGGUGGCGAGUGGCGAACGGGUGAGUAAUACAUCGGAACGUACCCAGCAAUGGGGGAUAACUAUCCGAAAGGAUAGCUAAUACCGCAUACGCCCUACGGGGGAAAGAGGGGGAUCGCAAGACCUCUUGUUAUUGGAGCGGCCGAUGGCUGAUUAGCUAGUUGGUAGGGUAAAGGCCUACCAAGGCAACGAUCAGUAGCGGGUCUUAGAGGACGAUCCGCCACACUGGAACUGAGACCCGGUCCAGACUCCUACGGGAGGCAGCAGUGGGGAAUCUUGGACAAUGGGCGCAAGCCUGAUCCAGCAAUGCCGCGUGCGUGAAGAAGGCCUUCGGGUUGUAAAGCGCUUUUGUCAGGGAGCAAAUCCUUGUGGCUAAUACCCACCGGGGAUGAGAGUACCUGAAGAAUAAGGACCGGCUAACUACGUGCCAGCCGCCGCGGUAACAC